rnacentral:rRNA from 1 species
GAUGAACGCUGGCGGCGUGCUUAACACAUGCAAGUCGAACGAUGAAGCCCAGCUUGCUGGGUGGAUUAGUGGCGAACGGGUGAGUAACACGUGAGUAACCUGCCCUUAACUCUGUGAUAAGCCUUGGAAACUGGGUCUAAUACCGGAUAGGAGCGUCCACCGCAUGGUGGGUGUUGGAAAGAUUUAUCGGUUUUGGAUGGACUCGCGGCCUAUCAGCUUGUUGGUGAGGUAAUGGCUCACCAAGGCGACGACGGGUAGCCGGCCUGAGAGGGUGACCGGCCACACUGGGACUGAGACACGGCCCAGACUCCUACGGGAGGCAGCAGUGGGGAAUAUUGCACAAUGGGCGCAAGCCUGAUGCAGCGACGCCGCGUGAGGGAUGACGGCCUUCGGGUUGUAAACCUCUUUCAGUAGGGAAGAAGCGAAAGUGACGGUACCUGCAGAAGAAGCACCGGCUAACUACGUG